GUAAUUAAAGUAACUAGUAACUAAAGCUGUCAGAUGAAUGUAGUGGAGUAAAAUUUACAAUAUUUCUCUAUGAAAUGUAGCGUAGUAGAAUUAGCGAGUAGAAGUAGAAAGUGGCAUGAAAAGAAAAG